rnacentral:lncRNA from 10 species
UUGGACUUCUAGCCUCCAGCACUCUGAGAAAAUAAUUUCCUGUUACUUAAGCCACUCAGUCUGUGGUAUUUUGUUAUGGUAGUUCAAGUAGAUUAAUACACCUUUCUUCAAAGCUUAUUUAGGUAUUCCUCAGCCAAGAAACCCUCCUUCUGGGCACAAAAACCUGAACAACCACUUCAUUCUCAAGUUUCAAGGGAGUUCAGGUCCCAGAAAAGCUGUGAAAUUCAAUUUAAAAACCCCAAGGAACUUGGGGCUGGGGAUAGGGAGGUGCUCAAAGGUAUUAUAAAUUUUCUUUCAGCCACAGCAUGUACGAUAAACAGGAAUUUUGUGUUUUGUUUUCUAAUUUCAUUGCCGUUAUUCCACUGUUUCCACAAUGGAUCUGAGGUUAUGAAAUGGCUAAGAAUUAAUCAUGCAGUUCCUCUAGGCCAUUGUAAUGAUGCCUCUACUUUGAGUCACAUGAAAAGUCUUUGGACGGAAGAAAGCAGAAGAGCCACAUAACUUAUGUUUUAAAAUACUCACUGGAUGACUACGUGAAGAAUGGUCUGUAGCAGUCAAGAAUGGAAGCAGAGAGGCCAGCUAAAAGGCUAUUGCAUUACUGAUAGAUGACAAUGAUUUAGACUAGGAUGUGGAUUGGUGUACGGAAUUGGUUAGGUGCUAGAUAUUCAGCAGUUCCCUUUUAUGUUCGGGGGAUAUGUUCCAAAACCCCAAGUGGAUGCCUGAAACCACAAAGAAUACUGGACCCUACACUAUGGUUUUUCCUAUACAGCUUAUUGUAUGCAGUAUUUUCAAACUGGGUCCACCACAGGUAACUGAAACCACAGAAAGCAAAACUGCAGACAAGAGUGGACUACUGCAUUUAAAAGGUGUUUGACAGUUCCUCCUUCACACACCCUCUUUCCUGCCUCCAUGUGACGAAGGUCUUUGCUUCUGCUUUGCCUACCACCAUGACUUUCUAGAUAUUGAGAAGUCCAAGAUUAAGGCAAUGGCAUUGAUGAGAGCCUUCUUGCUGGGUCCUGAAGAGGGGAGGAAUACCAUGUCCUCACAUGGCAGAAAGCGGAAGAGCAAAAAGAAAGAGAAAGAGAGAAAAGAGAGAGAGAGCAAAAUCCCUCCAUCAAGCCCUUUAUAAUGGCAUUAGUCCAUUCAUGAGAGCAGAGCAUUCAUGUUCUAAACAUCUCCCACCAGACCUCACCUUCCAACACUGUUGCAUCGGGGAUGGAUUUUCAACAUGACUUUUGAAGGGGACAAAAGCAUUCAAACCACAGCAAUUAGAAAAUGCACGUGGUAUAUAUUAAGUGACAAAAACCUAAACGAAUUUAGUGUAAACUGUUCUAAUGUUUGUCUAUCUUCCUUUCUGAGAACAAACAAUCGAUUCCAAUGAUUUUGGAUAACCACAUCGUGAAGUGGCUCUUUUUUCAAGGCUUGAAACAACAAAACUGAGGGAGUGAAUUAAGGGCAAAAAUCUACUUUUAAUUUAAGAAUUUAUAUGAGUGACUGGAGCACAGAGGGCAUUUAUAAGGGUGCUUACUAGGGAAGGGGGCAUCGAGUCACCACUGCUUUGGUCAAAUUGUACUUCAGUCAACCAAAUCUUCAUGGGUUCAUGGAACAAAUCAAGUAAUUGGGGAUCCAGCAGAAGUAAAGCACAACAAUCUAAAAGAAUAAUGGACCCACUGCCCAUUACUGACUAUACAUUGUAAAUAACCAGUCCAUGGAUGUGUCCCUGCAUUGGAACCCAAGAUUAAGAUUUGGAUAUGGAUGAUGUAUGCUUAUAUAAGUCUUUUUACUUGUUUGUCUACACUGUCUUAAUAAAUCAGUCUUUUUUUUCUACAUGCCUUGUGGAAAGUAUACUUCAUUUCAUCAAAAUAAAUAAGUAGGCUAGGGAGAUUUUGGAUAAAUUAGUCCUUAAAAUUAUCAAUUUAACCCAGAAAACACUUUAUAACCUGAUGUGGUUUGGCUGUUUCCCCACCCAAAUCUCAUCUUGAAUUGUAGUUCCCAGAAUUCCCAUGUGUUGUGUGAGGGGCCCAGUGGAAGGUAACUGAAUCAGGAGGAUGGGUCUUUCCUGUGCUGUUCUUGUGGUAAUGGAUAAGUCUCAUGAGAUCUGAUAGUUUUAUAAUGGGGAGUUCCCCUGCACACACUCUCUUGCUUGAUGCCAUGUAAGACAUGACUUUUGCUCCUCCUGUCUUCCGCCAUGAUUGUGAAGCCUCCUCAGCCAUGUAGAACUGUGAGUUCAUUAAACCCC